rnacentral:rRNA from 1 species
GGAGUGGGAGAGGUAGACGGUACUCGGUAGGAAGUGGUAAAAUGCUUUGAUCUAUCGAUGACCACCUGUGGCGAAGGCGGUCUACCAGAACACGUCCGACGGUGAGGGAUGAAAGCUGGGGGAGCAAACCGGAUUAGAUACCCGGGUAGUCCCAGCUGUAAACUAUGCAAACUCAGUGAUGCAUUGGCUUGUGGCCAAUGCAGUGCUGCAGGGAAGCCGUUAAGUUUGCCGCCUGGGAAGUACGUACGCAAGUAUGAAACUUAAAGGAAUUGGCGGGGGAGCACCACAAGGGGUGAAGCCUGCGGUUCAAUUGGAGUCAACGCCAGAAAUCUUACCCGGAGAGACAGCAGAAUGAAGGUCAAGCUGAAGACUUUACCAGACAAGCUGAGAGGUGGUGCAUGGCCGUCGCCAGCUCGUGCCGUGAGAUGUCCUGUUAAGUCAGGUAACGAGCGAGAUCCCUGCCUCUAGUUGCCACCAUUACUCUCAGGAGUAGUGGGGCGAAUUAGCGGGACCGCCGCAGUUAAUGCGGAGGAAGGAAGGGGCCACGGCAGGUCAGUAUGCCCCGAAACUCUGGGGCCACACGCGGGCUGCAAUGGUAACGACAAUGAGUUCCGAAUCGAAAGAUAGAGGUAAUCCCUAAACGCUACCACAGUUGUGAUUGAGGGCUGCAACUCGCCCUCAUGAACAUGGAAUCCCUAGUAACCGCGUGUCAUUAUCGCGCAGUGAAUACGUCCCUGCUCCUUGCACACACCGCCCGUCGUUUCAUUGAAGUUUGCCUUUAGCGAGGUGAUGUCUAAUUGGCAUUAUCGAACUUGGGGUAAGUGACAAGGGAAAAGUCGUAACAAGGUGACCGUAGGGGAACCUGCGGUCG